GAUGAACGCUGGCGGCGUGCCUAAUACAUGCAAGUCGAGCGAACGGACGAGAAGCUUGCUUCUCUGAUGUUAGCGGCGGACGGGUGAGUAACACGUGGAUAACCUACCUAUAAGACUGGGAUAACUUCGGGAAACCGGAGCUAAUGCCGGAUAAUAUUUUGAACCGCAUGGUUCAAAAGUGAAAGACGGUCUUGCUGUCACUUAUAGAUGGAUCCGCGCUGCAUUAGCUAGUUGGUAAGGUAACGGCUUACCAAGGCAACGAUGCAUAGCCGACCUGAGAGGGUGAUCGGCCACACUGGAACUGAGACACGGUCCAGACUCCUACGGGAGGCAGCAGUAGGGAAUCUUCCGCAAUGGGCGAAAGCCUGACGGAGCAACGCCGCGUGAGUGAUGAAGGUCUUCGGAUCGUAAAACUCUGUUAUUAGGGAAGAACAUAUGUGUAAGUAACUGUGCACAUCUUGACGGUACCUAAUCAGAAAGCCACGACUAACUACGUG
rnacentral:rRNA from 1 species